rnacentral:misc_RNA from 1 species
GCGAGCUCUCGCCGCCGCGAUUCUCCUACAGCAGCAAAUGCAAAACGGCGGAGGAGGUGGUGCUGCUCCUUUUGAUCGUUCAGCUUCGCUUCGGUAUCCGAAUUCGAAUUCUAAGAAGAAUCAACCUCUACCGCGUUCCUCAAGCUCUAGGGCUCGCUCUCUUACUGAUCCUCUUCUUCAGCCUCACCAGCUUGUGAACCAGGAAGUGAAGGUUGAUGAUUUAGAGACGAACCAUUUCGU